rnacentral:lncRNA from 10 species
CCCUCUGAUACUCAGUGUGUCAGUCACACCGGGAUUCAUUCACUGAGUUCCGGGAGCAAGGCAGCUUUUCAAGGCUGGGCACUAAACAGGGGGAGCUUUGUGAGUGCCUAGACUCCUCUGCCGGCCACCUGCUCUUCCUCUCCUUGGCUUCCACGAAGAAAGCUGCAUGAGAGCAGGGAAUUGCUUUGUCCAAUGCUAAUCACUAAAGCUUAGAAUACUGCUUGUUACAUGGGCCAGAAGUCAAGAAUAGGAGAGCAGCAGAAAACCACUAAAUAUGACAGCCAGCUUCACAUGGUUGGGGACCUCUGGCUGGUGAUGUUACCUGCCACAGGAUGUGCCCUGCCCAAUCAGCUUGCCAAGUCUAGCUUGUGCACUGGUUCCUGAGUUCUUGUCCUGUGCCCAAGAAGAAUGAGGAUGUGCUGACCAUUGAAGGAGUCUUGUUCUGUUGACCAGGCUGGAAUGCUGUGGUGUGAUCUCGCCUCAUUUCAACCUCCACCUCCCAGGUUCAAGCGAUUCUCCUGCCUCAGCCUCCCGAGUAGCUGAGACUACAGAGCCACCUCUUAGUUGGACUAUUUCACUGCAACAGUCCCCUUCAGCUGAUGCUGAGUCUAUGGACCGAUUCCGGUCUGAGAACUGGGAAGGAGCUCUAGCUCUCCAAACAGAUUAAACACCAUGUUUGAAAUGCUGUCCUGUAGAACCAACACUGGACCUGCAAGAAUUUGGGCUGCAUUCUCCUCUGAAUAAGCAAAAUGACUCCUAUUUCAAAGUCUUUUCAUAAUGUCUCUUUUAUAAGGGAAUUUGUUUACUGCCU